rnacentral:piRNA from 1 species
UGCUAGAACACUGUCCCCAUGUUCAAGGC